rnacentral:misc_RNA from 1 species
UUGAAUUUGCAACGGGGGCGCCUUGUCUGGCCUGCACCGGUGGCGACGCCGUGUCGCGGUCUGCUCGGCGCCCUCUUCCAAACCCAAACCCCUGUGAACCUUUGGGAGGGCGCGAAGCGUCCUCUCGUUUCCUUAACCAACUCUGAUGUCUAUUUGAAUGUGCGAAUCGGGGCAGCCCCGAUGUCGAAUUUGAAA